rnacentral:rRNA from 1 species
CCCAACCGGUCAUCAGCUCAUAGCGUAUAUUAAGUUGUUGCAGUUAAAAAGCUCGUAGUUGAAUUUCGGGACCAACAUGUCGGUCGUGCCUUGGUACGUACUGGUAUUAUUGGUUUCUCCCUUCUGAAGAACCAUGAUGUCAUUUAUUUGGUGUUGUGGGGAAUCAGGACUGUUACUUUGAAAAAAUUAAAGUGUUUAAAGCAGGCAACCC